rnacentral:lncRNA from 1 species
GUGGAACCUGCGUCCCCCCAAAACAUAAUGUCAACACUUUCAAAUUGCUUUCCGAGAUCCCGAAUUUUAGGGGGUGCAUCUUCCAGGGGGGGGGCCUGGGAGCUUACCUGUUUUGUUUACCCGCCCAAGUGCCUAAUGCAGAGUAGUUACCUAAUAAAUAUUUGCCGAGCGGAUGACUGCACAGCCGAAUGAGCCCCGUUCCAUCAUAGGGAUGUAGGAGGAUUUGCGGAGCCAAGCCCCACCUGGGAGGCACCUAAGUCCUUGCCAGUUUUUCUCAAUUAUGGCUCUGCAACGAAUAUCCUCUGUGCAUAAAUCCUUGACUGCAUCUCUUGAUUAUUUCCUCAGGAUAUUUUCCUCGAAGUGGGAUUACUGGGUUGAAGGGUAUGCACAUAUGUAAGGCUCUUGAUUCAGAGUCCCUCCAGCCGCGCCAGAAUGAGUCAGCUUCCCAGCAAGCUGGCCAAAACUCGGUAUCAUCGGCCUUCAUUUUUAUUUCUCUCUGUCUUUUUUCUUUGCCAUCUUGAUAAGAUAAAAAUGAUAUCCCAUUUUAUUUGCAUUUCUUUGUGGACUAAUUAGGUGGAGAUUGGACUAACUUUAAAGAAAUAUUCUUAAGGAGCACCGAGAAAUCCUGUGUGGAAAAGGAGACCGUGACACCAGGCACAUUCUGCCCAGUGAGGUGAAACCAAAGGGCUCCAAUGGUCUGGUGUGAUUUGACCAGAAGAUGUAAACACAUUUGAGCCUUGCUCCAGAGGCUUCCCCUGAGCAAGGGAGGGGAAGCUGUGACUUACUAGCUUCCCUAUGUUUGUUAUUUUUUGUUAUUUUCAUUUCCUGAUGAGGAGUAAAUGUUUCAUAAAGCAAAUGAAAACCCUGUGUAAUUAUCUUUAAGGACAGCAAGAAAAAGUAGAAGUG